AAAGCAUUCUCUGGUGUUGAAGGCCCUGCAAAGCAGCAUCGCGGUGGCGGAGCGUCGUUUGCGACGCCCAACACACAAAACAAGCGGUGAGUGCUUUGGGGUGGGGUGACUGCGUACCUUUUGUAUAAUGGGUCAGCGACUUAUAUUCUGUAGCAAGGUUAACCGAAUAGGGGAGCCGCAGGGAAACCGAGUCUUAAUUGGGCGUUAAGUUGCAGGGUAUAGACCCGAAACCCGGUGAUCUAGCCAUGGGCAGGUUGAAGGUUGGGUAACACUAACUGGAGGACCGAACCGACUAAUGUUGAAAAAUUAGCGGAUGACCUGUGGCUGGGGGUGAAAGGCCAAUCAAACCGGGAGAUAGCUGGUUCUCCCCGAAAGCUAUUUAGGUAGCGCCUCGUGAAUUCAUCUCCGGGGGUAGAGCACUGUUUCGGCUAGGGGGCCAUCCCGGCUUACCAACCCGAUGCAAACUGCGAAUACCGGAGAAUGUUAUCACGGGAGACACACGGCGGGUGCUAACGUCCGUCGUGAAGAGGGAAACAACCCAGACCGCCAGCUAAGGUCCCAAAGUCAUGGUUAAGUGGGAAACGAUGUGGGAAGGCCCAGACAGCCAGGAUGUUGGCUUAGAAGCAGCCAUCAUUUAAAGAAAGCGUAAUAGCUCACUGGUCGAGUCGGCCUGCGCGGAAGAUGUAACGGGGCUAAACCAUGCACCGAAGCUGCGGCAGCGAACGUAUCACUUAAAGCGAUUCAGCGGGUUACGAUUGACGGAGCGAAGCGACGUCAAAGCGUAUACAAAGUCGAGUCGGUUUAAGGAUACGUUCGUUGGGUAGGGGAGCGUUCUGUAAGCCUGUGAAGGUGGCCUGUGAGGGUUGCUGGAGGUAUCAGAAGUGCGAAUGCUGACAUAAGUAACGAUAAAGCGGGUGAAAAGCCCGCUCGCCGGAAGACCAAGGGUUCCUGUCCAACGUUAAUCGGGGCAGGGUGAGUCGACCCCUAAGGCGAGGCCGAAAGGCGUAGUCGAUGGGAAACGGGUUAAUAUUCCCGUACUUGGUGUUACUGCGAAGGGGGGACGGAGAAGGCUAUGUUGGCCGGGCGACGGUUGUCCCGGUUUAAGCGUGUAGGUGUGUGUUCCAGGUAAAUCCGGUUCACUUUAACACUGAGGCGUGACGACGAGGCACUACGGUGCUGAAGCAACAAAUGCCCUGCUUCCAGGAAAAGCCUCUAAGCAUCAGGUAACAUCAAAUCGUACCCCAAACCGACACAGGUGGUCAGGUAGAGAAUACCAAGGCGCUUGAGAGAACUCGGGUGAAGGAACUAGGCAAAAUGGUGCCGUAACUUCGGGAGAAGGCACGCUGACACGUAGGUGAAGUGAUUUACUCACGGAGCUGAAGUCAGUCGAAGAUACCAGCUGGCUGCAACUGUUUAUUAAAAACACAGCACUGUGCAAACACGAAAGUGGACGUAUACGGUGUGACGCCUGCCCGGUGCCGGAAGGUUAAUUGAUGGGGUCAGCGCAAGCGAAGCUCCUGAUCGAAGCCCCGGUAAACGGCGGCCGUAACUAUAACGGUCCUAAGGUAGCGAAAUUCCUUGUCGGGUAAGUUCCGACCUGCACGAAUGGCGUAAUGAUGGCCAGGCUGUCUCCACCCGAGACUCAGUGAAAUUGAACUCGCUGUGAAGAUGCAGUGUACCCGCGGCAAGACGGAAAGACCCCGUGAACCUUUACUAUAGCUUGACACUGAACAUUGAGCCUUGAUGUGUAGGAUAGGUGGGAGGCUUUGAAGUGUGGACGCCAGUCUGCAUGGAGCCGACCUUGAAAUACCACCCUUUAAUGUUUGAUGUUCUAACGUGGACCCGUAAUCCGGGUUGCGGACAGUGUCUGGUGGGUAGUUUGACUGGGGCGGUCUCCUCCUAAAGAGUAACGGAGGAGCACGAAGGUUGGCUAAUCCUGGUCGGACAUCAGGAGGUUAGUGCAAUGGCAUAAGCCAGCUUGACUGCGAGCGUGACGGCGCGAGCAGGUGCGAAAGCAGGUCAUAGUGAUCCGGUGGUUCUGAAUGGAAGGGCCAUCGCUCAACGGAUAAAAGGUACUCCGGGGAUAACAGGCUGAUACCGCCCAAGAGUUCAUAUCGACGGCGGUGUUUGGCACCUCGAUGUCGGCUCAUCACAUCCUGGGGCUGAAGUAGGUCCCAAGGGUAUGGCUGUUCGCCAUUUAAAGUGGUACGCGAGCUGGGUUUAGAACGUCGUGAGACAGUUCGGUCCCUAUCUGCCGUGGGCGCUGGAGAACUGAGGGGGGCUGCUCCUAGUACGAGAGGACCGGAGUGGACGCAUCACUGGUGUUCGGGUUGUCAUGCCAAUGGCACUGCCCGGUAGCUAAAUGCGGAAGAGAUAAGUGCUGAAAGCAUCUAAGCACGAAACUUGCCCCGA
rnacentral:rRNA from 1 species